UACGGAGGGUGCAAACGUUGCUCGGAAUUAUUGGGCGUAAAGCGCGUGUAGGCGGCACGCUAAGUCGAGUGUGAAAGCCCCGGGCUCAACCCGGGAAGUGCGCUCGAUACUGGCGAGCUAGAGUACGGGAGAGGGUAGCGGAAUUCCCGGUGUAGAGGUGAAAUUCGUAGAUAUCGGGAGGAACACCAGCGGCGAAGGCGGCUGCCUGGACCGAUACUGACGCUGAGACGCGAAAGCGUGGGUAGCAAACAGG
rnacentral:rRNA from 1 species